rnacentral:rRNA from 1 species
AGCGAACGCUGGCGGCAGGCCUAACACAUGCAAGUCGAACGAACCUUUCGGGGUUAGUGGCGGACGGGUGAGUAACACGUGGGAACGUGCCUUUAGGUUCGGCAUAACUCAGGGAAACUUGUGCUAAUACCGAAUGUUCCCUUCGGGGGAAAGAUUAAUCGCCUUUAGAGCGGCCCGCGUCUGAUUAGCUAGUUGGUUGAGGUAAUGGCUCACCAAGGCGACGAUCAGUAGCUGGUCUGAGAGGAUGAUCAGCCACAUUGGGACUGAGACACGGCCCAAACUCCUACGGGAGGCAGCAGUGGGGAAUCUUGCGCAAUGGGCGAAAGCCUGACGCAGCCAUGCCGCGUGAAUGAUGAAGGUCUUAGGAUUGUAAGAUUCUUUCACCGGGGACGAUAAUGACGGUACCCGGAGAAGAAGCCCCGGCUAACUUCGUG